rnacentral:tRNA from 1 species
GGCUCUGUAGUUCAACGGAUAGAACACAGGUUUCCUAAACCUGCGAUAUGGGUUCGAUUCCCAUCGGGGCUA